UGUCGACGACGACGAUGAUGACGACGGUGAUGAUGAUGAUGAUAAUGAUCUCGACGAUGAACGUUUUAGUAUUCGUCAUGGCUGAAAUCAUCGUUGUCGUCAUCAUCAUCAUCGUCAUCAUCAUCAUCAUCA
rnacentral:pre_miRNA from 1 species